AGCAGCCGCGGUAAUUCCAGCUCCAAUAGCGUAUAUUAAAGUUGCUGCAGUUAAAAAGCUCGUAGUUGAAUUUCGGGACCAUCAUGUCGGUCGUGCCUCGGUACGUACUGGCAUUGUUGGUUUCUACCUUCUGACGAACCAUGAUGUCAUUUAUUUGGUGUCGUGGGAAAUCAGGACUGUUACUUUGAAAAAAUUAGAGUGUUUAAAGCAGGCUCACGCUUGAAUACAUUAGCAUGGAAUAAUGAAAUAGGACGUUUGAUUCUAUUUUGAUGGUUUCUAGGAUCGACGUAAUGAUUAAUAGGGAUAGUUGGGGGCAUUAGUAUUCAAUUGUCAGAGGUGAAAUUCUUGGAUUUAUUGAAGACUAACUACUGCGAAAGCAUUUGCCAAGGAUGUUUUCAUUAAUCAAGAACGAAAGUUAGGGGAUCGAAGACGAUCAGAUACCGUCGUAGUCUUAACCAUAAACUAUGCCGACUAGGGAUCGGAUGAUGUUAAUUUUUUAAUGACUCA
rnacentral:rRNA from 1 species